AGUGAACGCUGGCGGUAGGCCUAACACAUGCAAGUCGAACGGCAGCACAGUAAGAGCUUGCUCUUACGGGUGGCGAGUGGCGGACGGGUGAGGAAUACAUCGGAAUCUACUUUUUCGUGGGGGAUAACGUAGGGAAACUUACGCUAAUACCGCAUACGACCUACGGGUGAAAGCAGGGGAUCUUCGGACCUUGCGCGAUUGAAUGAGCCGAUGUCGGAUUAGCUAGUUGGCGGGGUAAAGGCCCACCAAGGCGACGAUCCGUAGCUGGUCUGAGAGGAUGAUCAGCCACACCGGAACUGAGACACGGUCCAGACUCCUACGGGAGGCAGCAGUGGGGAAUAUUGGACAAUGGGCGCAAGCCUGAUCCAGCCAUACCGCGUGGGUGAAGAAGGCCUUCGGGUUGUAAAGCCCUUUUGUUGGGAAAGAAAAGCAGCAGGUUAAUACCCCGCUGUUCUGACGGUACCCAAAGAAUAAGCACCGGCUAACUUCGUA
rnacentral:rRNA from 1 species